GGUUCAACCUUUCCAAAACUAAAAGAAGAAGAAGCUAGCUAAAGCAGUUGUCGUGGGGGGUUAGGAGAUCUCUACUUGUUGGUUGAAUUGGCAACUCGUCAAAGACUUCCAGUUUUUCCCAAGCGUUGUUCUCAUCUGCGAUCACAUCAUCACUCACUUUCGGUGUUGCCUGAGAAGUUGCCACGCUCCUCUGUACAGUCAGACUGUAGCAUCACCGUUUACUUGCGAGCCAAGUAAAUAAUGUGCUGCGGUUGAAGAUGGGAGGCAGUGGCUCCAAAUCCAGAGGAUUUUGGUCUUUUUCUGGCUCCGGUAGCGGGGACGAUUUAGCCAAAGAUGGAAGUGAGCAGACCCUGGCGAGAGCUCGGAGCUUCCCGGGUGCAACACCCUUUGUGUUUACCAGACGAAGCUCUAUGUUCUUCGAUGAGGAUGGGGACUUGGCUCAUGAGUUUUAUGAAGAAACAAUUGUGACGAAAAAUGGCCGUAAAAAAGCAAAGCUGAAAAGGAUUCAAAAAAACUUAACACCUCAGGGAAUUAUAAAGCUGGACCACCCGUGCAUCCAUGUAGAUUUCCCAGUUAUACUCUGUGAAACCUGAUGAUCUCCCAGGUUCAUCAGACGCUGUGCCACUGUGUCAACUCCGUCCUGUGGUUUCCCCUACAGAUGCAAGCCCCAACCACCUUCAAAGCAGAAUAGGUCUGGUGAAAUGUCUGGCUUCGUGGACAGGCACAGGAUGGGUCGUCAGUGGAGAGGGCCCGCCAAACUGUCCAAAUCCUCUGGUUUCAAGUGUGCAUGCCCGUGUGAAUGAGUCCAGACACUAAAUGAAACAUGAACUUUGACCUUUUUAUUUUAUUUUUUGCUUUAAAUUGUUAGGAUCUGUUGAACUACGAGUCUGGGAUGCAUCUAUUAUGCAUGGAACAAGAUCAGCCUGUGAACAGUAGCAUAGAGUUGACAAUCAGUGGCCUGCAUGCCAUGUUGUCAGGUUGAAAGAACUUGCUUCCGUGGCUUCUGAGCUGCACUUUCUUUGGGGUUGUUUUUUGUUUUUUUGCUGCUCUGGCAUCGAUUGUUUCAUAUGUAAUUUAUUAAAAACUUUUAAAUCACAAACAAAA